rnacentral:rRNA from 1 species
UACAGAGACUGCGAGCGUUAUUCGGAUUCACUGGGCGUAAAGGGUGCGCAGGCGGCCGAGUGUGUGAGGCGUGAAAGCCCGGGGGCUCAACUCCGGAAUUGCCUUUUAAGACUGCAUCGCUAGAAUUGUGGAGAGGUAAGUGGAAUUCCGAGUGUAGAGGUGAAAUUCGUAGAUAUUCGGAAGAACACCAGUGGCGAAGGCGACUUACUGGGACACAUAUUGACGCUGAGGUGCGAAAAGCGUGGGGGAGCAAACAGGG